GUGGCUUCAAAUAUUGAUUUUAUUAAUGCUUGCAUAUUUUUUGUAAUGUGUUUGCAAUGUUUAAUUGAAGCCUAUAAUUGUGUUCCCCUCGCUAUCCACUACUGCAAUUCUAAUGCUGUAAUUGGACGUCGGGGAACCAGAUUU